GUUGAACGCUGGCGGAAUGCUUUACACAUGCAAGUCGAACGGUAGAGGGGGCAACCCCUCGAGAGUGGCGAACGGGUGAGUAAUAUAUCGGAACGUGCCCAGUCGUGGGGGAUAACGUAGCGAAAGUUACGCUAAUACCGCAUACGAUCUAAGGAUGAAAGCGGGGGAUCGCAAGACCUCGCGCGAUUGGAGCGGCCGAUAGCAGAUUAGGUAGUUGGUGGGGUAAAGGCUCACCAAGCCAACGAUCUGUAGCUGGUCUGAGAGGACGACCAGGCACACUGGAACUGAGACACGGUCGAGACUCCUACGGGAGGCAGCAGUGGGGAAUUUUGGACAAUGGACGCAAGUCUGAUCCAGCCAUUCCGCGGGCAGGAUGAAGGCCCUCGGGUUGUAAACUGCUUUUGUAUGGAACGAAAAGGUCUCUCUUAAUACGGGGGGCUCAUGACGGUACCGUAAGAAUAAGCACCGGCUAACUACGUGCCAGCAGCCGCCGUAA
rnacentral:rRNA from 1 species